AAACCACGCUCUCUCCCUUUCAAAAUAUACAUAUUUUUCUUUGAACAAACACCGGGAUCUCUCGCCACCACGCACGUGCCACGACGACCCGCGUCUGUUCCCACUCUGGCCCACGCGUUUGCUUCAUAAACCUUCCCCUUUUUCUUCCUCCUCUAUAAAAUCCAACAAUUAAAACUGUCUAUCAUCCAUCCUUUGUUUUCUUCGAAGCAGCUCACCAUGGCGGUAAGAACUGUCAAAGUCUGUAAUGUUUCUUUAGGAGCAACUG
rnacentral:misc_RNA from 1 species